rnacentral:rRNA from 1 species
ACGCACGCUGGCGGCGCGCCUAACACAUGCAAGUCGAACGAGCGAGAGAGAGCUUGCUUUCUCGAGCGAGUGGCGAACGGGUGAGUAACGCGUGAGGAACCUGCCUCAAAGAGGGGGACAACAGUUGGAAACGACUGCUAAUACCGCAUAAGCCCACGGGUCGGCAUCGACCAGAGGGAAAAGGAGCAAUCCGCUUUGAGAUGGCCUCGCGUCCGAUUAGCUAGUUGGUGAGGUAAUGGCCCACCAAGGCGACGAUCGGUAGCCGGACUGAGAGGUUGAACGGCCACAUUGGGACUGAGACACGGCCCAGACUCCUACGGGAGGCAGCAGUGGGGAAUAUUGCACAAUGGGGGAAACCCUGAUGCAGCGACGCCGCGUGGAGGAAGAAGGUCUUCGGAUUGUAAACUCCUGUUGUUGGGGAAGAUAAUGACGGUACCCAACAAGGAAGUGACGGCUAACUACGUG